GACGAACGCUGGCGGCGUGCCUAAUACAUGCAAGUCGAGCGGACCAAAGGGAGCUUGCUCCUGGAGGUUAGCGGCGAACGGGUGAGUAACACGUGGGCAACCUGCCUGUAAGACUGGGAUAACAUCGAGAAAUCGGUGCUAAUACCGGAUAAUAAAAAGAACUGCAUGGUUCUUUUUUGAAAGAUGGUUUCGGCUAUCACUUACAGAUGGGCCCGCGGCGCAUUAGCUAGUUGGUGAGGUAACGGCUCACCAAGGCAACGAUGCGUAGCCGACCUGAGAGGGUGAUCGGCCACACUGGGACUGAGACACGGCCCAGACUCCUACGGGAGGCAGCAGUAGGGAAUCUUCCGCAAUGGACGAAAGUCUGACGGAGCAACGCCGCGUGAGUGAUGAAGGUUUUCGGAUCGUAAAAACUCUGUUGUUAGGGAAGAACAAGUGCCGUUCGAAAGGGCGGCACCUUGACGGUACCUAACGAGAAAGCCACGGCUAACUACGUGCCAGCAGCGCGG
rnacentral:rRNA from 1 species